rnacentral:lncRNA from 1 species
CUAUAACGAAUUGAGGUUCAAAAUACUUAUAUACCUAUAUGGAGAUAUUUUCUUUCAGAACGACAGUAAAUUUUUUUUCAGAAUCAACCCGGACGAUACCAUGUUUCAACGAAAUAUGCUCCAAGGCAUAAACUAAGGACCUGUGUGAGGUCAUUACUUUCCUUGAUAAAAAUGCAAUCUAUAAUUUACUUCAAAAUGUUAUUCGUCUGAUAGUUUUUUGUUGCCGAUUUUAUCAAUCGAUGAUAGGUGUAAAAGAAACCGUCAUUGCUCGCA